rnacentral:rRNA from 1 species
GACGAACGCUGGCGGCGUGCUUAACACAUGCAAGUCGAACGGAAAGGCCCUGCUUUUGUGGGGUGCUCGAGUGGCGAACGGGUGAGUAACACGUGAGUAACCUGCCCUUGACUUUGGGAUAACUUCAGGAAACUGGGGCUAAUACCGGAUAGGAGCUCCUGCUGCAUGGUGGGGGUUGGAAAGUUUCGGCGGUUGGGGAUGGACUCGCGGCUUAUCAGCUUGUUGGUGGGGUAGUGGCUUACCAAGGCUUUGACGGGUAGCCGGCCUGAGAGGGUGACCGGCCACAUUGGGACUGAGAUACGGCCCAGACUCCUACGGGAGGCAGCAGUGGGGAUUAUUGCACAAUGGGCGGAAGCCUGAUGCAACAACGCCGCGUGCGGGAUGACGGCCUUCGGGUUGUAAACCGCUUUCGCCUGUGACGAAGCGUGAGUGACGGUAAUGGGUAAAGAAGCACCGGCUAACUACGUG